ensembl:snRNA U2 U2 spliceosomal RNA
AUUGCUUCUCAGCCUUUUGGCUAAGAUUAAGUGUAGUGUCUGUCUGAAUAGGAAGAGUUAUUCACAUUAAUUUAUCUUGUUCCCUAUAAAUCAUU